ensembl:lncRNA
GGAAAAAGGAAACCUCUGAAGAGGCUCUGAGCUCACAAUUUCAUAAAGCUGGAGUGAGAAUUGUCUCUAGAAGAGUUGCUGAAGAUGAGGCUAGAGGACCUGAAAGAAAGAUGAUCAAAAUCCUUACGUGCUUGAGUUUGAAGUUCAUUCUGAAAAAAUGCUGUUAGAACACAGUCAUUUAACAAAGGAUGAGGAAUACACAAGCCCAGUUCUUACCAGAGAAGUAGGAAGAGCCCAGUGUUUCUCCUUGAAGAGGGAGCAGUUUCUUAGGAAAUGGGGACCGCUUGAGUCUCAGCGAUAACAACAGCUACAGAAAUAAUGCAGUAUCCCAGAAAUAGCGUCUUUCAGAGCCACGUCUGAGACAAACACCUAUCUUGGUGAUGCCAAGGUGAUAAGCAACAACUUUUGGUGCUCAGGUAAAAGAGGAGGAAUACCAUCAGUUAGGGUCAGCCACAAGGAAGAUUCCUGAGAUAUUUAGAGGGUAAAAGAAGAGCAGCGGCCAUUUUGUAGUUGAUACUCAGUUACCAACGUGCUGACUCACUUCAUGGGCUUGAAGCAAGAGCUGGGUCUGCAAUUUCUCUACCCUCUCUUGGAUUCCUCCUUCAGUUUCUCUGACUCGUAGGUCAGAAUCGCUUGACAAGCAGUAUGUCAGUGCCCACCUGGGAUCUGAACCUGUGAACCCCAGGCCACUGAAGUGGAGAAUGUGAAAUUAACCACCAUGCCACAGGGCCAGCCCCUGAAAUAGUUAUUUAUAAAGGUCCUGAAGAUUAGAACAUGGAUUCCUGGUAACCAUACCUAAAAAUUCUGCCUACUACUGACGGAAAGAACAUAUUAUUCACUGGGUGCGCUUCUCAGAACCUAGCAGAGCUUCUGAUAUAAAAGAUAAUUGAUGCUUGAGUUAAUUUUUAAGUUGAACUGACUUCAGUUUCAAUUAUUACCAUGUUUUUAAAUUAUCUGUUUUAGUUGCAUGCAUAGUGAAAAAAAUACUUUAAAUAGCGAAUAAGGAAAUAAAAUAGCAAUACAGAAGUAACUGCAAUCCUUUCAUGAUGAACACUGAUCCAUAGGAAAAGAGACUAAAAAAGGAAGAAAAAAUGCCACAAAAUAGAAAGAAAGAAAACCUCUUGAAAAAGGAAAGUGGAGUUUUGCAUAUUUUACAGCUGAGUCUAUCAAAUUUCAAGCUCAAUAAGUAAAUGAUAGUUCUAAGUUAGAAAAGUUGCCUUACUAUUAAAAUGCUUUGAUUAUGUUAAUGACAACAGGUUUUCUAAACCUAAAUCUGCUUAAACUUCAAACAGAAAUCUGGUUUGGAGCUGUAGAAAAGCAAUGCUUGCUAGGGUGCCCUAAAGUGUGCUGUGAUGAAUUAGCGUUUUUGAUUUGGAGGUGAGGCUAUUUUCAUACAUGUAUUUGCGCAUUUGUUUAUGUAAAUCAUCACAGUGUUUUCAGGGUUGCUGUCUCCCUGUAUAUAUGCCAAGACUCUAAUACUUUUUGGCGAUUAUGGCCUCCUUCCCUUCUGCUGAUUGCAGCCUGAGCUUCAUUUUGUGCUAAGGCAUAUAAAGUGAUGACAAAGGUGGACAAUUGUUUCUGGCUGCAGCUCACCCAAAUAAAACUGUUUCAAUUGAUUCAGAGCACUUAUGUCAGCCAAGACCCUAUACUUCUUGACACUGCAUUUUUCCCAGUGAAUAAUAAAUCACUGUGUUUCCAACAACAGCCUCUCUCCCUCUGCCUUUCUCUCUUCUUCCACCAUUAGUCAUGCUGGUCUAGCUCACCACCUGUCACUUGGCAUGCUUCUGCAAAUACUGUUACCCAUGUAGAAAUGGAUUUGGUUUCACUGAAGUUGGGAACACACCUGUGCUUACUUGGGUCUGCAACCCACCAGCUGUAAUCCCUUUAAAGGUAUUUUUUGGCUGUUCCUAUGUAUUCCAUCUGCUCUUUCUUGGCGUGGAUUUUUCAAACAUUUCUAUCAUUAGAAUUCUGAAUUUCAGGUAAUAUAAAUAUGCCUCACAACAAAAUGCAUAAGUAGAUAAAUACAUGGUGGGUAAUCUCGAAAGGAAGAUUAAUGUUAAGUCAUUAACUUGUGUAUGAUUCAUAUACCUAAGCUCCUUUAAUUCUCCCAACAAAUCUAAUGAGGGAAAAUUAUGCAUUAUCCUCAUCAAAUAGGUGAGAUAGUUAGACUUAGGAGAAGCAACUUACCUAGAUCGUUCACCAACUAAGUGAAAGAUCCUGGACUCCAAAUAAGGAGUCUCUGAUUGCAAAGCCCCUGUAAUUGUCCCUUUAGAAGUCACAUUUUCUGCUUAACCAUGCUGCUUUCUUUUAUCCAUUCAUCCAACAUUCAAAGGAUCCCUACUAUGACCCAGACACUGUGCUGUUGGCAAAAUAUUUGUAGCGGCAAGCACACAGUCCUGUCCCACAGAUGCUGGUAGACCAGCAGAAUGAAUGCUCAUGUAAGUGAAUAAUUAUAAUGCAGAUUUUUAAAGGUGCUGCAAGGAAAGUAGGUCUCAAGGUAGAUCUAUCUAGAGUUGCUCUUUGAAUGUAGUAGUCACUACCUGUGUGUGGUUAUUUAAAUAAAUAAAAUUAUUCUAUAAGUAAAAUUAAGAAUUCAGUGUCUCAGUUGCACCAAUCAAACUUCAAGCCUCA